CAGUCGCCGCGGUAAUACGUAGGUCCCGAGCGUUGUUCGGAUUUAUUGGGCGUAAAGCGAGCGCAGGCGGUUAGAUAAGUCUGAAGUUAAAGGCUGUGGCUUAACCAUAGUACGCUUUGGAAACUGUUUAACUUGAGUGCAAGAGGGGAGAGUGGAAUUCCAUGUGUAGCGGUGAAAUGUGUAGAUAUAUGGAGGAACACCGGUGGCGAAAGCGGCUCUCUGGCUUGUAACUGUCGCUGAGGCUCGAAAGCGUGGGGAGCAAGCAGGAUUAGAUACCCCUGUAGUCCCUGUCUCUUAUACA
rnacentral:rRNA from 1 species